rnacentral:snRNA from 1 species
UCAAUGUAGAUGCUCUAAUGG